AACGAACGCUGGCGGCAGGCCUAACACAUGCAAGUCGAACGCCCUAGCAAUAGGGAGUGGCAGACGGGUGAGUAACACGUGGGAACCUUCCCUAUAGUAUGGAAUAGCCCAGGGAAACUUGGAGUAAUACCGUAUACGCCCGAGAGGGGAAAGAUUUAUCGCUAUAGGAUGGGCCCGCGUAGGAUUAGCUAGUUGGUGAGGUAAUGGCUCACCAAGGCGACGAUCCUUAGCUGGGUCUGAGAGGACGACCAGCCACACUGGGACUGAGACACGGCCCAGACUCCUACGGGAGGCAGCAGUGGGGAAUAUUGGACAAUGGGCGCAAGCCUGAUCCAGCCAUGCCGCGUGAGUGAUGAAGGCCUUAGGUUGUAAAGCUCUUUUGCCGGGGACGAUAAUGACGGUACCCGGAGAAUAAGUCCCGGCUAACUUCGUGCCAGCAGCCGCAGUAAAAUAGCGUACU
rnacentral:rRNA from 1 species